GUGGACAAAUCGGAGCAAAUUGAAACCUUCGAGGAGUUUAUGACCACUUUGAAACUAGAGUGCGAUAAUCCUGAUGCACAACCUGGAUAUCUAAAUUGGACCGUGCCAUAUGAUGCUCCGGAUAUGGUAUACUAUCAAUGCUACACCCACCGGAACCUGGGUUGGAAGAUUCAUGUCGUUAACGAAGGUAUGUCGCUAGAGAUCAACGGUUCACAUGGUGUGUCCUUGGUAAGUUCGUUCAGUAUACCGCUGUUGGCGCUGACCGUGUGUACUAGUUUACUGAUGAUGCGACGACGUUUGCUAUUCUGAUAGUAACUUCCCCUAAUUGGUUAACCUGCCCAAGUUUGAGUUCGACAGUACUGUAAAUUGUUUAUCUUUUUCCAUUGCAAAGCCUGCAACGAUUAUAGAAAGGUAGGAAGUAACAAAUAUAGCUAAUGAAUCAAAUCUAGUACACUCGGUUACGUUUCAGCGGUGGUUAAUUCCAUGGCCUAAGUUCUGUUUGAUGGUUUGAGG